CCAAUAGCGUAUAUUAAAGUUGUUGCAGUUAAAAAGCUCGUAGUUGAACUUCGGGGUUUACCCAUUGGUCAGGCUUAAUUGUCUGUACUGGUGAGAUAAAUCUCUACCUUCUGAGGAACUUUCAUGUCAUUAAUUUGGUGUGAUUGGAAAUCAGGACUGUUACUUUGAAAAAAUUAGAGUGUUUAAAGCAGGCUAACGUCUGAAUACAUUAGCAUGGAAUAAUGAAAUAGGACGGACUGAUUCUAUUUCGUUGGUUUCUAGGAUCACCGUAAUGAUUAAUAGGGAUAGUUGGGGGCAUUAGUAUUCAAUUGUCAGAGGUGAAAUUCUUGGAUUUAUUGAAGACUAACUACUGCGAAAGCAUUUGCCAAGGAUGUUUUCAUUAAUCAAGAACGAAAGUUAGGGGAUCGAAGACGAUCAGAUACCGUCGUAGCCUUAACCAUAAACUAUGCCGACUAGGGAUCGGACGAAGUUAAUUUUAUAAUGACGCGUUCGGCACCUUACG
rnacentral:rRNA from 1 species